rnacentral:rRNA from 1 species
UUGACCUCAAAUCAGGUAGGACUACCCGCUGAAUCUUAGCCUUCAAUAAGCGGGAGGAA